rnacentral:lncRNA from 1 species
GUGGAAACAGGCUAUUCCCACUCCCUUCCGAGUCCCGGUCUCUGCCUUCUGCGGAGAACACUCUGUCUAGACUGGCACCUGCCCGUGGCAAGUCAGCCCCACCAAAGAACACGCCGAGGUGGUGGGAGAAACACGGUGGGAGUGGCGCUGGCUCUUACCUGCCAGCCUCCAACCCGGGUGUGUGAGAAUUAGAAAUAACCCCCCAGGUGAUCCACUUCCGGCUUUCUAUAACUGAAUUCUAGAAUGUCCUCAAAGUUCACCUUCAUGGCCGUUUGUGGUCCCCAAAUACCUCCCAGGUGACACCCGCAUCACUUGGUGUGACGUCAUAAUGAGGUCACAAUAGAGCCCGGGGGGCCGUUGUCCCGAAGGUUUCUGUGGCCACGCAUUUCCUGCAAAGAGAGGCCUCCCGAUUGGACGCAGAUAUUCAGGCUGUGGUCCAGGACCGAGACAAGGCUCAGCGUCUUCACAGGAUGGAGAAUGGAAAUCAAGGGAGCUGAGGACAAUGGGCGUGUCACCUGGAACAGAAGCAUGUAUACCAGCCUGGGGGACGGUCUCAGACCCUUGAGGGCAGCUGAAACAGGGGCCCAGGACGUCAGAGGAUGGGGGCAAGAGGGAAGCUAUGGCUUGGUGGUGCUGUCACCAGCAACGUGGAUUCCCGGGGUCACCCAGGCGAGGAAGUCCGCAGUGAGGCAGAGGGCUCCCCCAGCCGGUGCCGAGCCUGUGGCCACGCUGCCUCCGGUCUUCACAGAUGCUGGCCUCUAUGCCGGGCCCCAGGGGGCCCAAGGGAAAGAAACUGGACAUAGCACAAGGACCUGGACAGAAUCAGGAAUUACCAGGCAGAAAGGAAGGACAAAUGGUAACGACCGGAAGUUCAAGAAAAGGAUCCGAGGCAAAAGGCUGACUGAUGUGGCUGAAGAUACGAAUAAUGCCAUCAAAGGAGUGGACAAGAAGCAGAAACCAGGGGCUGUCCGAGAACGGAAGAGGCAGAGAGUCUGGUUUCAGAGGGUAGCGCCCAGGAAUGGGUGUCCACGGGAAGCUCCUGAUCGUCACCAAAGGAGACAGUGCCUGCCAGCUGGCAUCAGUAUGCACACAGUGGCUGUCACCCACAUGGAGAGGCAGUACAGGUUUGACUCGGAGGACAGGAAUGGCCUCACCAUUACUUGGAGACUGAAGAUACUUCCUGGACCCAAGGGGAAGAAUCAGAAGACUGAUGACAGUCAUAGCCCCCCAUCAGACUUCCCUCGGUCCCCCAGCUGCCUUCACCCUUCGCUCAUCUCUGAGAGAUACCUGAGGCCAUGCUGGGUCUUACUUCUUGUGAUGCCCCAUCGGAGGAAGAAAACCAAGAUGCGUGAAUCACACCCAAAGUUAAAUGAAACAUUUGAACCAGGAAGGCCCCUUGGUGUCUUCAGUUACUUCUAUGGAUGCUGGAAAGUCCUCCAAGAAGGAAGGGGCUUGAAUGCCUUCAGAAAGCUCCAGAACAUCUACCAUGAGUCACUGCCCUUGGAGGUAAGAAGAGUCAAGUCUUCUUUGGAGAGCGUCUUCUCUGCGGUCUGGAGGAAGACGGUCAAGACCUUGGCUCUGGGUGAGGAGGCAAGUGGAACAAAAGAUAAAAAAAUGGUUCAUUGCUGGAAGAAGGAGAGGCGUGUGCUCACACACAACACGGUGAGGUUUGGACCCAGGACCCUAGUGGGCGCCAGGAGGUCAAGAGAUGAGUUUCUAGGAGCAGCUCACAUCAGGAGGCCAGCCCAAAAGAAGAGAGGAAACAGAAUUCCUGUUCUGACCCAUAACCUGGUCAGAUUUGGCCUGAGGACCCUUGUGGGAGCCAAGAGGGCAGCAGAUAUUCCUGACCCGUGAGUAGAUGUGCGUGGGUGGGUGGGAAGAGCUUGUCAAACAGAUACUGGGCCCUAAGAUGUCACAGAUCUAAAGGACCAUAAAAUUAGAAGGGACUUUGGAAUGCAUCUUGCCCAGUCCAGCCCAUUCACAGCUGUGAAAAGGGCAUGAUUAUUUUGCCUUGGCCACAGUCGCCCCCUGACAGAUGAAAUGUGAUUCAGUUGAGAGAUGACCAUGACAGGUGUAUAUGGAGACUAGGAGAACGGGAUUGAGGGUCAGCCAUUCUGAGACUGAAUGGAGAAAGGAAGAAAGAAAAUAUUGAAAGCUUUCAAAAGGAGAAUCUAUCAUCUUGGUCAUGGUCUCAACUGUAGCAUCAAGUAAGGACAGAAAUCCUAUGGGGCUCAAGCCAUUUUGCUGUCCAUUUCUGGUUAAUUUUAUCCAUAGCUCGAUGGAGGCACAGACCAAUUUUACAGACAUUUUUUCCUCUAACAGUUACGAGCCUACACAGUCUCAGAGGUGAACUGUCACAUGGAUCCAUGUAUGCAGGUUUAGUUUUAGAUUUAAAAAGUCAAUUCCAUAAGCACAGCUUUGUAUAGACAGACGCAUCCUUGCGUAUUCUGAGAUACUCAAACCACAUUUGGACCAUGCCUUGAGCUCCUGGGACCUUGUGUUAAGAGGAACCUUAGCAAAUUGUUACCAUAUUUGAAAGGUGGGUGGUGAGGGGACUGGAAACCAUGUAGUAUGGGGAAGGGUUGGGGAAGUUGGGGAUUUUAAACAAAGCCUGGUGAAGUGAAUCAUGAACUGGGCUGGUGGUCCUCAGUUAUUGAAAGGACUGUACAGAAGAGGGAUUCCAUUUCUUCUGAAUUGCCCUUGAUCAUUAGACUAGAAUCAAGGGGGAGAAACAGACAUGAAGACAGACCCUGGCUUCCUGAAAGGACACCCUUUCUGUUAGAUUUCACUGACUUGGAUGGGCUGCCUCACCGAGGAGUGGCCUGGGAGCUCAUACUGGGUUCCCUGCAUUUGUAAGAAGUUAGGGUCUGCAGACCUCGAGGAGCUCUUACCUGUGCCAAGAGUUAACACCUCCACCUUCUUCCUUCUCUUUUCCCUCUUUCUCUUUUCCCGGUGUGUUACCCUGUACGGGUGUGCAGAGCAGGCAUAAGACUAUAUGAGAUACAGAUCUUACUUUCUCUUUGGAGGCACUCGUUGGGAAAAUAUUGUUCCAUAUUGUCACUAAUAGACUACUAAGUAUAUGUUAUCCCUAAUAUACUACAAAUAUACCUCUUUACUAAGGGGUGAAGUGAAAGAGAACUCUUGGCUUACAGAUGUUUUCUCACUGUGUCAGUCGGGGUUCUCCAGAGAAACAGAA